AGUGAACGCUGGCGGUAGGCCUAACACAUGCAAGUCGAACGGCAGCACAGUAAGAGCUUGCUCUUACGGGUGGCGAGUGGCGGACGGGUGAGGAAUACAUCGGAAUCUACUUUUUCGUGGGGGAUAACGUAGGGAAACUUACGCUAAUACCGCAUACGACCUACGGGUGAAAGCAGGGGAUCUUCGGACCUUGCGCGAUUGAAUGAGCCGAUGUCGGAUUAGCUAGUUGGCGGGGUAAAGGCCCACCAAGGCGACGAUCCGUAGCUGGUCUGAGAGGAUGAUCAGCCACACUGGAACUGAGACACGGUCCAGACUCCUACGGGAGGCAGCAGUGGGGAAUAUUGGACAAUGGGCGCAAGCCUGAUCCAGCCAUACCGCGUGGGUGAAGAAGGCCUUCGGGUUGUAAAGCCCUUUUGUUGGGAAAGAAAAGCAGCAGGUUAAUACCCCGCUGUUCUGACGGUACCCAAAGAACAAGCACCGGCUAACUUCGCG
rnacentral:rRNA from 1 species